rnacentral:rRNA from 1 species
UACGUAGGGUGCGAGCGUUGUCCGGAAUUAUUGGCGUAAAGAGCUUGUAGGCGGUCUGUCGCGUCUGCUGUGAAAAUCCGGGGCUCAACCCCGGACUUGCAGUGGGUACGGGCAGACUAGAGUGUGGUAGGGGAGACUGGAAUUCCUGGUGUAGCGGUGAAAUGCGCAGAUAUCAGGAGGAACACCGAUGGCGAAGGCAGGUCUCCUGGGCAGUAACUGACGCUGAGGAGCGAAAGCGUGGGGAGCGAACAGG